rnacentral:rRNA from 1 species
CUUUACUGUAUCCUGGAAUUGGGUUCGGGCUUUGCUUGCGCAGAAUAGGUGGGAGGCGUGGAAGUUAUCCUUGUGGGGAUAAUGGAGCCAUCGGUGAGAUACCACUCUAGCAGAGCUAGAAUUCUAACUCUGACCCGUGAAUCCGGGUCGAAGACAGUUUCAGGGGGGCAGUUUGACUGGGGCGGUCGCCUCCUAAAAGGUAACGGAGGCGCGCAAAGGUCCCCUCAGAAUGGUUGGAAAUCAUUCGCAGAGUGUAAAGGCAUAAGGGAGCUUGACUGUGAGACCUACAAGUCGAGCAGGGUGGAAACACGGCCUUAGUGAUCCGACGGUACUGCGUGGAAAGGCCGUCGCUCAACGGAUAAAAGUUA